AGAUGAUUGGGAAUUAGGGAAGAUUAUUUAAAGAAGAAAAACACAAAAUGUUUCCAAGAAAAAAUAUAUCUACUUGUAUGAGACCAGUGAAGAGUCAGUAAGAUAUCAAAAGGAAAGUCUCUCCCCCAUUUCCUUGAGUGGUGACAUGGACCAAUGCACCUGGACUUCUCCUGCAACUCCAGCCCUCAGACAAGGUCAAGGGCUCAUCACCCCUGAAAGAUUCUGGAAGCUUCUACUGACCCAGUGACUCUGGCACGGUCAUUGGAGCUUGGGGAACGAUGGCCAAGCCUGUGUGUGAAUUAGAGAGAGCUGGAACGUGGCAGUCUUGCAACACUGGCAGAGAUCUGUGCAUGGCAGGCAACUUGGCUGAGUAGAAUAGCGUCUCUCAGACACUGCAGUCUGCAAAAAUGACCCCACGUGGCAGCAGACAACAAUGACGGUGCUGCAGUUCAGGCCCUCCUAGACCAGAAUACCAGCUACAAAAGGACGGGAGUUUUGUUCAUGUGUGAAUCUCCACCACCAAAAUCUGAGAGUGAGAGAGAGAGAGAAAUGAAAAUGCUUUCCAGGGGUCUUUGGAAGAGGAUACUGGAAAUAAGGGGGUGAAAAGUUAAGCUUAUAGAGAGAAUGUGGCCAACCUCCCUCCCCCACACCCUCCACACUUCAAUUCCUGCCAGGCAGGAACUGGAAUCUUUUGUAGAGCACCAUUAUAGUAUCAGAAAGUAACACAAUCACAAAGGAGAGAAGAAAAGCUUGAUGUGCACGCCAGGACUCUAAAAGGCCCCCCUGUGAGGACGACUGUGGCAGCACUAAGUCAGAAGAAAAGACCUACCCAGCUAAACUGUCAUGUCUAAGAGAAGCUCUGAAGCUGGCGAGGAAAAACAUUUCUCCCCCGAAACGCCUUUCAUUUAUUUUAUUUUUUAAAGUUAGUACAAGAGAUAAUGCAGCACAUUUGUGUAAUUUCAUCCUGAAGCUCGUCUCUUGAGAAAAGGGCUCUCAGAUCUCAUGCAUGCAUGUCUGGCUUCUCAUCCCACCCACUUCAGGGGAAACUCUCAGGCUUCUCUUGUGAAAUAUGCUUGAGAGGUGAUCCUGAGCAUUGGCAGAGGAAGGCAAUAUUGAUAAUCUAGACCUGUGUGUGCGCAUGCAAACACACACACGCGUGCACACACACACACACACACACACACACACAGAGCUUGGAAGCUUCUCUGUUCAUUUUCAUUUGCUUCAUGGGUCAGAAUAUUCUGAUAUUGUUCUGAUCCCACAUCACCUUAUCCCAUCUCUUUUAUUCCUCCAAGAAUAGUCUGAGGUCUUCCAAGUUGGUGUGUUACCUUCUCAGUAAGGAAACAGGAAAAAUCCGCUAAAAUACAGACAUCCUCUAACACUGCCUCCCCCGCCCCUGUCGCCCCUGCACAAGCACAUGCGCAAUGCACACAUAAUUAUCUGCCCCACCUUACAACGGAAUUGAGGCGGUUUCAUGGGCCUUUGCUGGUGCUAAGGCCCAGCAGGUUUGGAAUCUGGAAGCUGAAGGAAAAAUAAAAGCUGGGUAUGCAGAGGAGCCAGAAGGAAUUAUUGCCUUUUCCUGGAUCGGACCUAGAGAGAACAUUCACUUACGUGAUUUCCUCGCUCCAGGGUUGUAAAAAGUACCCCUAAAAUGGGGAGGUAGGAGAAGGGAAAGAAAAGGUUAAAGAAAAAUGGACAACCAUAAAAAGAUUUAUAAUUUACUUUUGAAAUAAAUCAGCAAAGGGAGGCCCAAUCUGCCAUUUGCUCUGAGGGCUCUGGGAUCCCACACUGAAUAAUGUGCCAUGGCCCAUUUUGAUCGGCACUGAAAUUAACAAUCAGCCAGCCACUUUAUGAAAUAUUAUCUUUGUUAGCUUUACCACUAACAAAAAUACACUUCCAAUUUUUCACAUCCACACACUACAUCUAUUAAAGCAAUCUGGGAAAUUAGUUUGAGAUAAACUGUACAGCAAUUUUAUUCAUAGCUUCCCUGUAUCUCACACUGUUAAUCUGCAUCACAGCUCACUAAAUAGUGCCUAAUGUUUAUUGCAUUUAACUGAAUGUAUACGAUUCUGAGGGUACGCCAGGGACCGAUUAUCAUAAUUAUACAUGUUUCUAUGGUAACCCACAAGUCUAUCAGUUUUGAUUCAUUAUAUUGUUAUACCUUCUAGCACUUUCUAAUUAUUAGGUGCCCAUAAAAAGUCUCAGUCUUGCUGUUACUAUAGAAAUGAGCUAUAGACAGGCCUCAAUUGUUAACCCUU